CCUACGGGAGGCAGCAGUGGGGAAUAUUGGACAAUGGGCGGAAGCCUGAUCCAGCAACGCCGCGUGAGGGAUGACUGCCUUCGGGUUGUAAACCUCUUUCAGCACAGACGAAGCGAAAGUGACGGUAUGUGCAGAAGAAGCACCGGCCAACUACGUGCCAGCAGCCGCGGUAAUACGUAGGGUGCGAGCGUUGUCCGGAAUUAUUGGGCGUAAAGGGCUCGUAGGCGGUUUGUCGCGUCGGGAGUGAAAACACACAGCUUAACUGUGUGCUUGCUUCCGAUACGGGCAGACUAGAGGUAUGCAGGGGAGAACGGAAUUCCGUGGUGUAGCGGUGAAAUGCGCAGAUAUCAGGAGGAACACCGGUGGCGAAGGCGGUUCUCUGGGCAUUACCCUGACGCUGAGGAGCGAAAGUGUGGGGAGCGAACAGGGAUUAGAUACCCUGGUAGUCCACACCGUAAACGUUGGGCGCUAGGUGUGGGGCCUAUUCCUAUGGUUCGGUGUCGCGNGCUACGCAUAGCGCCCGCCGUCGGGNGGUACGGCCGCGACGGACGUAAACGUAACGUAAGUAAGUUAGACGUCGUUGAGACGUUGCCGACGGCGACGACGAGGGAGGAGG
rnacentral:rRNA from 1 species